AUUGAACGCUGGCGGCAGGCUUAACACAUGCAAGUCGAACGAGUGGCGGACGGGUGAGUAAUGUAUGGCGAUCUGCCCGAAUGAGGGGGAUAACUACGGGAAACGCUAGCUAAUAUCGAAUACAAUCGGAUGAACCAAUAUGGGAUUAGCUAGAUGGGGAGGUAAUGGCUCCCCAAGGCGACGAUCCAUAGCUGGUCUGAGAGGAUGAUCGGCCACACUGGGGCUUAGACACGGCCCAUACUCCGACGGUAGGCAGCAGUGGGGAAUAUUGCACACUGGGCGCAAGCCUGAUGCAGCCAUGCCGCGUGUAGGAAGAAGGCCUUGGGGUUGUAAAGGACUUUCGGCGGAGAGGCGUUACCCGCAGAAGAAGCACCGGCUAACUACGUGCCAGCAGCCGCGAUAAUAC
rnacentral:rRNA from 1 species